CGACCCCCUAAAUGAACAUAACGAAAACGCAAUUUGAAAAAUGAACUCAAGUGUCAUUAGUGUACUCUGUGUGCUGUGAGUGUGUGGCAAUCCUGGCUUAUUUUAGUGAUAUAAGUGGUCUGAGGAUCAUCUAAAGAUGACGGAGUUUUUCGAAGGCUGGAGUGGCAACAAUGAUGACGACGAAGACAUCGAAGAGACGGUCGAAACUGUGGAAACAGUCACCACAACGACCACAAGGAAAACCAGAAAAAAUGUGCCUACUGAACCUACGUCGUCGACGACGAAGACGACGACGAUGACGACGCCGGCAAAGUUGUAUGGACGCGAGUUGUCUGCUUACGAUGAAGUCGACGUCGACGAAUUGCUGGCAAAGUUAUCACAGGAGGAGCUUACCAUGCUCGCCAAGGAGGUGGAUCCAGAUGACAACUUUCUCCCUCCCUCACAAAGGAAUAACUAUGCGUGCGAAAAGGACCCCACUGGACCUCUGAACCGGAAGAAACUCAUAGAACACAUCAACAAGCAGGCAUUAGAAACACCAGACCGGCCAGAGGUCAAACCUUACGUAGCAGGAGUAGUACGGGGGAAAAAGUGGAUCCCUCCGCCGCCGCCGGAGAAAAUCCGAGAGGCGGAUGAACAGAUCACCAUCGACCUCGGCGACGAAUAUGAGACGGCCCUCACCGCUGCCACACAGGAAGAGAUCAUUGAUCUUGCUGCAAUUCUCGGCUUCCACUCCAUGAUGAACCAGGACCAGUACCACGCGUCGUUGCUAAACAAGGGACAGCCUGUUGGAUUAGGAUGGGACGGUAUCACAAAGGCUACCAAACCCAAGAUCUACCCCAUGGACCCCCCUAAUGACACAGACCCGGAGCAGACCAUCAGCAGGGUGAAAGACAACGACCAGUCCUUCCUUGAUCUCAAUUGGAAUAACAUUAAGAACAUAAGUGACGAGAAAAUCGAGAAGCUUUUCGAGGGGUUGAAAACCAACACUCACCUGGAAGUGUUGUCCCUCGUCAACGUCGGUCUCAACGACCGCACCGCGCAGCUGCUGGCCGACGCGUUGGAGGCCAACAGCACGCUGCGCGUGGUCAACGUGGAGACCAACUUCAUCAGCCCCGCUGGAGUGGUGCAGCUGGUCAAAGCCCUGCUCACCACCAACACUGUUGAGGAGUUCCGCGCUUCCAACCAGCGGUCGCAAGUGCUGGGCAACAAAACCGAGAUGGAGAUCACGCGGCUGGUGGAACAGAACCCCACGCUGCUGCGGCUGGGCCUCCACCUCGAGUACAGCGACGCGCGCCAUCGCGUCGCCUCGCACCUGCAGCGCAACAUCGACAGAAAUUGCCGUUUGCAAAAGCGGGCUACCACGUCUCUAAGCUUGAGGUUGCCUCGCGGCCGACCUCCCGCCGUGGGGGUCGACAGUAGCUUCUUUAACCUGACGCCGCCUAGCGCCGAGACGACAACGCCCACUUGUGAGAGGAGGAUUAACGAUAAGCCUAUAUGUGAGCCGGUACUGGACGUACCGAAUGGGACGGACAGGUUCGUGCGGGCGCAACCCCCCGACAUUCAUCCUGAGCCGCACUCUACGGAAAGACCUAACGCUGCGACUUCAGUUCAGAUUCUUUAACAACCUGCGAAAGGGGGCUCGUAGUCAGUAAUUACUAUAAAGUACGCCAGCAACGCCGGAGCCAGAGCGGCGCUUAGAUCACUAAACGACAUACGCGGUGGGCGAAUCCGGCGCAUAACCGUGUGCACGCGCAGCCCCAGCUACGUGGCGGGAUGGAUCCCCUGACCGCCUCCACGCCCCACCACGUCACCCGUCACGCUCUUUGUUAUUGUGUAGCCUUACCAUUGCUUGUAGUUGCAUCUUCAGGGGCGGUAUCGUACGGACUGCAUACGUGCAGUUGAGGUUAUCAACUAUUUUUGUGUUAUCUGAUUAUGUGCGAUAUCUGUCUGUAUAUAUUACGGAUUUUAUGAGGAUUAAAACAGCACGCGUGCAAAGAAGCUAAACUGAAUGCUGUAACGGAAUGAUCGGCACGUUUGAAUCGGUAUUUCACUAAGCUCAACUGCUUUUAACAGGUGAGCUUAUUAAGUAUUUGUUAUCUGGUUAUGUGCGAUCAAAUUAUUUCUAUGUACUAUGUAGGAGUAUUCGAUCAACAUGCGUGCCAAGUGGGUCAACUUGACUGUGUACUCACUCUACUUUAUAACCUGCAGACAUGUAGACAGUAAGCUCAACUAUGCAGCUGAGCUUACUGACUAGAGUAUGGUCGUGACUCAAUAUAGUUGAUUUGCUCGAAAGCAAGAUAUCAACCGAAUAGUGAAUGCUGUAGUUGAUCCAACGUGUAUCAGUAUUUCAGUAAGCUCAACCUCUCGUAGUGAUGUACGGUAGUUAAUUGUCGUAAUGUGAUGUGCAGUACGCAUGUUGUCAGAUAGCUCAGCGAUUCGCUCCUAUGUAUGGUUGUAUUUAAAUGCAUUCGGUGAUUUCUGUGUUCUCAUUUCAAGAGCUAGGUAAAAUCUGAGUUCCCAGGUUUGCGCACACGAAAUACAUGGAAUUUAUGAUGGAAAUCAACCACAACGGGAUUAGUUAGACGUUAUAAAUAUAUCAACUGCUCAAAUGUAGUCCGUCUGAUAACGCUCCUAAAAACCGUGUGAUGCAAAACUAUUUUGUCGCUGACUACUUCUGCGUAUACAGCAUUUUUUUUACUUAAGCGUAAGCAGUAAAGGUGUAAAUUCAUACUUUAAGUGAUCUUUGAUAUCUUCUCUGUAUACAGCUGGUUCUAUUAACUGCAUAAGCGUAUUGUAAAAAAUUCGUGUUGUAAGCGUUGCUUUAUGGGUGUUUAAAUAAAUAAAUUUUAACGAAAUUUAUAAAUAUAUAAUUGAUAUUAACUACAUUAGUAUGACAUUUUAAAUGACCUUUCUCUUAUUGACUACACAUUUUCAAAGAUACGAUAUUGACGGAAAAUUACGUAUGCUUGAAGAACGAAUAAUGUGCGCAAACAAGAAUUAUGAUUUUAUUUUACCGGAAUUAUCGUAAAAAUCGGUAUCGAAUCGCAACUCGAUGGCAGGCCCAUCACUAGUUGCUAAAGAGACGGUGUUUUAAAUUUUUGAAUAACGCGAAUAAAAUCAUAAGUCUUGCUUUAUAUCUGAUUGAUUCGUACGUUUAUAUAAUAUUAAUUCUAAUUUUAGUGUGCUAAUGGAAUCGUAUUAAUUUAAAUCAUAAAUAAAUUUUAAUACCUAUAAUUAUGUUUAGACUGCACAUUCCAUUAAUGCAAAACAGGCUCCUCUAUAUUUAAAUUUAUUUAUUAUAUAAUUAAAUAUCUAUACUAUGAUAUUAAGUAUCUUUAUAUAUUUUUUUCUUUUUAAUAAAUUUAUAUCUGUUGUAAAAAACAGAGCCUUUGUCAUAUAAUUAUUGUUUAAUAUUUGAUGAAUUUCUAAUAGUGUGCUAUAUGGUGCUAUAAAAUUCAUUAUUAAUCACUCAAAAUUAUCCAUAAAAUUAUAUUGUUUAUAGCUGUCCACAAUAUAUGAUUAGUGAUGUAUAUCGCAGACAAUAUCGAUAUCGGUAUUUGAAUCGGUAAGAAAACUGACAUUAAAUAAUGAUUCGGACAACACUAAACUCAUUUUCACUUAGAUAAGUAUAGUUGAAAAAAAAUUGAGAUGCAAUAAUCUCAAAAUACUGCCAAUUUGUUACCAGUACAGAAGAGAAGUCAUGUUUUGUGUCAAUGGAUAUUACGUUUAACAUUUUCGACAAAGCACUAGGUUUAGUUCUGUAUGCUAUAAUUAUGCUAAAUUCGUGCUUUUAUUACCAAUUGAAGAUAAAAUUUCGCCCAAUAUUGUAAAAUUGCAUCUAUGUGUGUUACGAAAAAAUUUUACCUUUUCGUUGUGAAAUAUUUUUAAAUACACAUUGGAUGUAAAAAAAUGACAUUCAUGACAUGACAUGGUAAAAAAUACACCUUGGGGUUCUUGUAUUGGAGUCUAAAUAUACUCAGAGGCACAAUUAUCCGGCUUCUUUAAUAUGACUUGAGUAUACUAAAGUGGGUGGAUAAUUGUGCCUCUAGUAUAUUUUUCUAGCAUAAAGGUAACCUUUUGCUUUCUUGAAAAAAAAAUUUGCUUACUUUUAAAUUGUAACUUUAUGUAUAUUUGAUAGAAAAUCUACUGGGAGUGCUAGAGUCCAUAACAUUGUGAUAAAACAUUAUGUUUUUUCCAUUGAAAGAAAAUGAAAAUAUUGCUUGUCUUUUUUUUAUUAUAGUUUCAAUUUAAGAGAGAUUAUUUGUAUAUGUUUUUUUUAGAUUUUAAUGUAUUUUUUCUUUGUAGUAAUGAAAUUUAAAAUUAAUAUAAAUUAUAAUUCUUUUUUAGUAAUAAUAGAUUUUAUUUAUGUCAAAAUAAUUUUAUUAUGUAUGGGAGCAUUUUGGUCCAACGAAAACCUUGACUACUGGUAGAGUCGCAGUUAUGUAGUUUGUGACAAAAAAAUGAAUAAAGCACUUUUAAAUUUC